CCAGUUUGACGACUUCGUGAGGUCUAUCCAGGUGGACCCGCACUCGCCUCUCUUCAGACUCGUCACAGACGGACAACCUCCGCUCAGACAAUGCCUUCACCCCGAGGCGUGCAGCAAGGAGCUGACGCUGCCUGCGUACUACGCGCGCUUCCACGACCUGAGGAAGGAGUACGUGCGCACGUACAUUGCGCGCGGUGGCGCCGCCUCGUGCGCAAGCGCCGCCGCCGCCUCCGCCUCCCGACCACCCUACCUCGCUGUUGGAUAUGCUCAACUAUUUAGGUAUAACUCCGUACGCUGGAGAGAAUUUUUACGCAGCUGAAGUUAAAGACAUGACCAGCAUAAUACAAAGGAUAAUAUCAGACGGUUUCCGGUUAGAACUGCCAGAGACCGUGGACUUAGUUUUAGAAACAGGAAUAUGGUAAGCAUUUGUAUUAUUACUACUUAUAUUUCUAAUAUUUAGAAUGAACACACAUUCAUAAGUAAACAAAUCCGAAAAAACUAUUUUUACGCCUGAUAAAAAUACACGGGCAACAAAAAGUUGUCACCGAAAUAUAACAUUGUUGAUGUGCUACAAUUUUUUCUCACUCGUUCGGUAGAUGGCGCUAGUUGUUUUAACAGUUGCAGAAUUAUUUUCUGCGAGUUCUGUCUUUAUUGUAGGUACUUAUAAAGAUGACGAAAGCGUGUUCUUUACAGCUGUAGUCUGUAGGUAUUAUUCAUCAUUGAUAAUGGGUUAUUCAAUAUUACGCAUACAAAAUCACGGAGAACAUAUUUUAUUUACCACAGUUCCUACAUUCUAAUAGGU